GCGCCCGUAGCUCAGCUGGAUAGAGUAUCGGUUUCCGGUACCGAGGGUCGGAGGUUCGAAUCCUCUCGGGCGUACCA
rnacentral:tRNA from 3 species